CCUACGGGAGGCAGCAGUGGGGAAUAUUGCACAAUGGGGGAAACCCUGAUGCAGCGACGCCGCGUGAGUGAAGAAGUAUUUCGGUAUGUAAAGCUCUAUCAGCAGAGAAGAAAAUGACGGUACCUAACUAAGAAGCCCCGGCUAACUACGUGCCAGCAGCCGCGGUAAUACGUAGGGGGCAAGCGUUACCCGGAUUUACUGGGUGUAAAGGGAGCGUAGACGGCAAGACAAGUCAGAAGUGAAAGCCCAGGGCUUAACCAUGGGACUGCUUUUGAAACUGCCUGGCUGGAGUGUAGGAGAGGUAAGCGGAAUUCCUAGUGUAGCGGUGAAAUGCGUAGAUAUUAGGAGGAACACUAGUGGCGAAGGCGGCUUACUGGACUGUAACUGACGUUGAGGCUCGAAAGCGUGGGGAGCAAACAGGAUUAGAUACCCUAGUAGUC
rnacentral:rRNA from 1 species